ACUCCAGUGACCUAAAUGGUUAGAGCGUCCGCCUCGGAUGCGGAAGGUCGCGGGUUCGAACCCUAGCCAAGUU